GACGAACGCUGGCGGCGUGCUUAACACAUACAAGUCGAACGGAAAGGCCCUGCUUUUGUGGGGUGCUCGAGUGGCGAACGGGUGAGUAACACGUGAGUAACCUGCCCUUGAAUUUGGGAUAACUUCAGGAAACUGGGGCUAAUACCGGAUAGGAGCUCCUGCUGCAUGGUGGGGGUUGGAAAGUUUCGGCGGUUGGGGAUGGACUCGCGGCUUAUCAGCUUGUUGGUGGGGUAGUGGCUUACCAAGGCUUUGACGGGUAGCCGGCCUGAGAGGGUGACCGGCCACAUUGGGACUAAGAGACGGCGCAGACGCCUACGGGAGGCAGCGGUGGAGAAUAUUGCACAAUGGGCGGAAGCCUGAUGCAGCAACGCCGCGUGCGGAAUGACGGCCUUCGGGUUGUAAACCGCUUUCGCCUGUGACGAAGCGUGAGUGACGGUAAUGGGUAAAAAAGCACCGGCUAACUACGUG
rnacentral:rRNA from 1 species